CCUACGGGUGGCAGCAGUGAGGAAUAUUGGUCAAUGGCCGGAAGGCUGAACCAGCCAAGCCGCGUGAAGGACGAAGGUGCCAAGCAUUGUAAACUUCUUUUGUCAAGGGACAAAAUCAGGCUCGAGAGCCUGACCGAGGGUACUUGAAGAAAAAGCAUCGGCUAACUCCGUGCCAGCAGCCGCGGUAAUACGGAGGAUGCGAGCGUUAUCCGGAUUUAUUGGGUUUAAAGGGUGCGUAGGCGGCCUUUUAAGUCAGCGGUGAAAGUCUGUGGCUCAACCAUAGAAUUGCCGUUGAAACUGGGAGGCUUGAGUAUGUUUGAGGCAGGCGGAAUGCGUGGUGUAGCGGUGAAAUGCUUAGAUAUCACGCAGAACCCCGAUUGCGAAGGCAGCCUGCCAAGCCAUGACUGACGCUGAUGCACGAAAGCGUGGGGAUCAAACAGGAUUAGAUACCCUUGUAGUC
rnacentral:rRNA from 1 species